rnacentral:lncRNA from 1 species
AUAGUAUUUUUGUUCUGCAGUGUCUCCCACUGUUACAAAGAAUUUGCGCUGCACAAUGCACCGCGUGCCACUUUGCAGUGUGGCCUGCUGGGAUCGGAAGGUCGGGCUUUUGUUUUGCUGUUACAGGUAGACGGUUUCACUUGCCAGCCUAGGCUUAAGGCUAAGGAUAUUUUCUAACGGCCUUCGGGAUUUCUACAUGAACGUUUGGAAAACCUAAUUGAAUGCCUGUAAUAUAAUAGUUAACAUGAAAUCCGAUUGCUUCUGAUGUGCCUAGGGAAAUUCUUUAGGCUAUAUGAAGGGUUUUGUGUCAGAAACCUGAAGCCAGAUCCUAGCUGGUGGCUUUGAAACACUUGGAACCUAUCUCCAUUCCUCUGUGACUCCUGAUGAAUUGAGGGAUCAUUCUCUACCAGGGACCCACAGUGGCCACACCAGGCUGAGACUCAGGCAGCCCACCAUCCUGUCCGUCAUUCCGGUCUCUCCAGACUUAAGUCUUAUUGUGGCUUAGCAAUGAAGAGCUAAUGAAGGCUGACCACUUUCACACAUGAAGUGAUGCCCAGUGAUGUGUGACGCAUUCUGGAAAGGGCAACGGCAGCAGGAAGACAAUUACACCCAAUUUGGGAGAAGCAACUUUCCAAAUACUGAGUACUUCUCAUAUGUCUCUGAGUUGAGAGGUUUAAAUUUCCAUUAACCUAGAAGAGGUCUGAGCUGAGGAUGGACGAUCUUUGGCUUGGUUUUCGGGUAACUUGACAGGGUCUGCGACUUUGGCUCUCUAUAUGAACCACAUUGCCAGAGUUUUAGUUUAGCUACAGCAAAGGUUCUCAUUGGAGGAAAGAAGAAAUGCAAGUUCAUCUGUUUUUCUAUCCUUGGUGCUUUAUCAGCAAGCUCCUGCUUAUCACACAGGGCCCAUCUGUGCACUUAAUAAAAGCAGGGGGCUCUCCACUGAGGAGAAGCCAAUUCCCCAUUGUUUGUCCAGUAGGUGUGAGAGACAUGAUCUGUGAAAACAAACUUUGUUGUCCCCCUUUAAAACAGGGGCCAUUUAAACCUUGCUGCCUUCUAACAAAAUGUAGAAACACAUGGUAAGCCUUCUUUCAAAACCCCAUAUUUCCCCCCUUGCUAGUCUGUGUUCUAGAUGGUGCGGAUUUUCAUCCUGCCCAAGAGAGAACAUGGUAACACCGGAUGUACCAUGUAUGGAGAAAGGCUGCUUGAAGUAUGGUUGCCAUCUGGAUUACCAACCCUCAGAUUCAGAGCGUUAGGGUCCCCGGCACUGUAGAGCAGACACUUUUAUACAGUUAUGCCUUCUGUGUGUGGUGUCUGAGAGACAAAUAUAUAUGGAGGGCAAUGUUUAAGGGAACUCACCCUUUAAAUGAUCACUGACUGUUGCCUUUCAGGAAUAUUAUACAUUAGCCGUGAUAUUAGUGCUAGUGCCUCCGAUAGUCUUAGUAUCUGUGCUAUUUUAAAAGUGCCAAUACUAAUGUGAGUAUCAAUAUUUGUGUUAGUGUUGUAAGGAAAAAACCCUAGAGCAAUGUUUUGACACAAGUCAGAGCCCAAGAAAUGUUUAUUUCCUUCCACUGAAGUUUUGUUUCUCAUUUUGGUGAAAAAAACAAUACCCUCUGUUCCAUGCAAUAAAUAUUUAUUAAGACUCA